rnacentral:rRNA from 1 species
UAAGUAUACCGGAAGGUGUGCUUGGAU